UUAAGCGACUAAGCGUACACGGUGGAUGCCCUGGCAGUCAGAGGCGAUGAAGGACGUGCUAAUCUGCGAUAAGCGUCGGUAAGGUGAUAUGAACCGUUAUAACCGGCGAUUUCCGAAUGGGGAAACCCAGUGUGUUUCGACACACUAUCAUUAACUGAAUCCAUAGGUUAAUGAGGCGAACCGGGGGAACUGAAACAUCUAAGUACCCCGAGGAAAAGAAAUCAACCGAGAUUCCCCCAGUAGCGGCGAGCGAACGGGGAGCAGCCCAGAGCCUGAAUCAGUAUGUGUGUUAGUGGAAGCGUCUGGAAAGGCGCGCGAUACAGGGUGACAGCCCCGUACACAAAAAUGCACAUGCUGUGAGCUCGAUGAGUAGGGCGGGACACGUGGUAUCCUGUCUGAAUAUGGGGGGACCAUCCUCCAAGGCUAAAUACUCCUGACUGACCGAUAGUGAACCAGUACCGUGAGGGAAAGGCGAAAAGAACCCCGGCGAGGGGAGUGAAAAAGAACCUGAAACCGUGUACGUACAAGCAGUGGGAGCACGCUUAGGCGUGUGACUGCGUACCUUUUGUAUAAUGGGUCAGCGACUUAUAUUCUGUAGCAAGGUUAACCGAAUAGGGGAGCCGAAGGGAAACCGAGUCUUAACUGGGCGUUAAGUUGCAGGGUAUAGACCCGAAACCCGGUGAUCUAGCCAUGGGCAGGUUGAAGGUUGGGUAACACUAACUGGAGGACCGAACCGACUAAUGUUGAAAAAUUAGCGGAUGACUUGUGGCUGGGGGUGAAAGGCCAAUCAAACCGGGAGAUAGCUGGUUCUCCCCGAAAGCUAUUUAGGUAGCGCCUCGUGAAUUCAUCUCCGGGGGUAGAGCACUGUUUCGGCAAGGGGGUCAUCCCGACUUACCAACCCGAUGCAAACUGCGAAUACCGGAGAAUGUUAUCACGGGAGACACACGGCGGGUGCUAACGUCCGUCGUGAAGAGGGAAACAACCCAGACCGCCAGCUAAGGUCCCAAAGUCAUGGUUAAGUGGGAAACGAUGUGGGAAGGCCCAGACAGCCAGGAUGUUGGCUUAGAAGCAGCCAUCAUUUAAAGAAAGCGUAAUAGCUCACUGGUCGAGUCGGCCUGCGCGGAAGAUGUAACGGGGCUAAACCAUGCACCGAAGCUGCGGCAGCGACACUAUGUGUUGUUGGGUAGGGGAGCGUUCUGUAAGCCUGUGAAGGUGUGCUGUGAGGCAUGCUGGAGGUAUCAGAAGUGCGAAUGCUGACAUAAGUAACGAUAAAGCGGGUGAAAAGCCCGCUCGCCGGAAGACCAAGGGUUCCUGUCCAACGUUAAUCGGGGCAGGGUGAGUCGACCCCUAAGGCGAGGCCGAAAGGCGUAGUCGAUGGGAAACAGGUUAAUAUUCCUGUACUUGGUGUUACUGCGAAGGGGGGACGGAGAAGGCUAUGUUGGCCGGGCGACGGUUGUCCCGGUUUAAGCGUGUAGGCUGGUUUUCCAGGCAAAUCCGGAAAAUCAAGGCUGAGGCGUGAUGACGAGGCACUACGGUGCUGAAGCAACAAAUGCCCUGCUUCCAGGAAAAGCCUCUAAGCAUCAGGUAACAUCAAAUCGUACCCCAAACCGACACAGGUGGUCAGGUAGAGAAUACCAAGGCGCUUGAGAGAACUCGGGUGAAGGAACUAGGCAAAAUGGUGCCGUAACUUCGGGAGAAGGCACGCUGAUAUGUAGGUGAAGUCCCUUGCGGAUGGAGCUGAAAUCAGUCGAAGAUACCAGCUGGCUGCAACUGUUUAUUAAAAACACAGCACUGUGCAAACACGAAAGUGGACGUAUACGGUGUGACGCCUGCCCGGUGCCGGAAGGUUAAUUGAUGGGGUCAGCGCAAGCGAAGCUCUUGAUCGAAGCCCCGGUAAACGGCGGCCGUAACUAUAACGGUCCUAAGGUAGCGAAAUUCCUUGUCGGGUAAGUUCCGACCUGCACGAAUGGCGUAAUGAUGGCCAGGCUGUCUCCACCCGAGACUCAGUGAAAUUGAACUCGCUGUGAAGAUGCAGUGUACCCGCGGCAAGACGGAAAGACCCCGUGAACCUUUACUAUAGCUUGACACUGAACAUUGAGCCUUGAUGUGUAGGAUAGGUGGGAGGCUUUGAAGUGUGGACGCCAGUCUGCAUGGAGCCGACCUUGAAAUACCACCCUUUAAUGUUUGAUGUUCUAACGUGGACCCGUGAUCCGGGUUGCGGACAGUGUCUGGUGGGUAGUUUGACUGGGGCGGUCUCCUCCUAAAGAGUAACGGAGGAGCACGAAGGUUGGCUAAUCCUGGUCGGACAUCAGGAGGUUAGUGCAAUGGCAUAAGCCAGCUUGACUGCGAGCGUGACGGCGCGAGCAGGUGCGAAAGCAGGUCAUAGUGAUCCGGUGGUUCUGAAUGGAAGGGCCAUCGCUCAACGGAUAAAAGGUACUCCGGGGAUAACAGGCUGAUACCGCCCAAGAGUUCAUAUCGACGGCGGUGUUUGGCACCUCGAUGUCGGCUCAUCACAUCCUGGGGCUGAAGUAGGUCCCAAGGGUAUGGCUGUUCGCCAUUUAAAGUGGUACGCGAGCUGGGUUUAGAACGUCGUGAGACAGUUCGGUCCCUAUCUGCCGUGGGCGCUGGAGAACUGAGGGGGGCUGCUCCUAGUACGAGAGGACCGGAGUGGACGCAUCACUGGUGUUCGGGUUGUCAUGCCAAUGGCACUGCCCGGUAGCUAAAUGCGGAAGAGAUAAGUGCUGAAAGCAUCUAAGCACGAAACUUGCCCCGAGAUGAGUUCUCCCUGACCCUUUAAGGGUCCUGAAGGAACGUUGAAGACGACGACGUUGAUAGGCCGGGUGUGUAAGCGCAGCGAUGCGUUGAGCUAACCGGUACUAAUGAACCGUGAGGCUUAACCUU
rnacentral:rRNA from 1 species